rnacentral:rRNA from 1 species
AGAUUGAACGCUGGCGGCAUGCCUUACACAUGCAAGUCGAACGGCAGCACGGACUUCGGUCUGGUGGCGAGUGGCGAACGGGUGAGUAAUAUAUCGGAACGUACCCUGGAGUGGGGGAUAACGCAGCGAAAGUUGCGCUAAUACCGCAUACGAUCUACGGAUGAAAGUGGGGGCUCGCAAGACCUCAUGCUCGUGGAGCGGCCGAUAUCUGAUUAGCUAGUUGGUAGGGUAAAAGCCUACCAAGGCAUCGAUCAGUAGCUGGUCUGAGAGGACGACCAGCCACACUGGGACUGAGACACGGCCCAGACUCCACGGAGCAGCAGUGGGAAUUUGGACAAUGGGGGCAACCCGUGAUCCAGCAAUGCCGCGUGAGUGAAGAAGGCCGUUGGUUGUAAGCGUCUUUGUCGAGGAGAACGGUGAAGGCUAAUAUCCUUGACUAAGUGACGGUACUAGAAGAAGUAAGACGACGACUAAC